UACGGGGGGAGCAAGCGUUGUUCGGAUUUACUGGGCGUAAAGGGCGCGUAGGCGGUCAGCACAAGUCAGUUGUGAAAUCUCCGGGCUUAACCCGGAAAGGUCAACUGAUACUGUGCGACUAGAGUGCGGAAGGGGCAACUGGAAUUCUCGGUGUAGCGGUGAAAUGCGUAGAUAUCGAGAGGAACACCUGCGGCGAAGGCGGGUAGCUGGGCCGACACUGACGCUGAUGCGCGAAAGCCAGGGGAGCGAACGGG
rnacentral:rRNA from 1 species